AAAAAAGGUAAGCUACUAAGAGCGAAUGGUGGAUGCCUUGACUGGUAAAGGCGAUGAAGGACGUACUAGACUGCGAUAAGCUACGGGGAGCUGUCAAGAAGCUUUGAUCCGUAGAUUUCCGAAUGGGGCAACCCAAUGUAUAGAGAUAUACAUUACCUAUAUAGGAGCGAACGAGGGGAAUUGAAACAUCUUAGUACCCUCAGGAAAAGAAAUCAAUAGAGAUUACGUCAGUAGCGGCGAGCGAAAGCGCAAGAGGGCAAACCCAGUGCUUGCACUGGGGGUUGUAGGACUGCAAUGUGCAAGAGGUAAGUUUAGCAGAACAUUCUGGAAAGUAUAACCAUAGAGGGUGAUAGUCCCGUAUGCGAAAAACAAACCUUAGCUAGCAGUAUCCUGAGUAGGGCGGGACACGAGGAAUCCUGUCUGAAUCCGGGUCGACCACGAUCCAACCCUAAAUACUAAUACCAGAUCGAUAGUGCACAAGUACCGUGAGGGAAAGGUGAAAAGAACUGAGGUGAUCAGAGUGAAAUAGAACCUGAAACCAUUUGCUUACAAUCAUUCAGAGCCCUAUGUAGCAAUACAGGGUGAUGGACUGCCUUUUGCAUAAUGAGCCUGCGAGUUGUGGUGUCUGGCAAGGUUAAGCAAACGCGAAGCCGUAGCGAAAGCGAGUCUGAAUAGGGCGCUUAGUCAGAUGCUGCAGACCCGAAACGAAGUGAUCUAUCCAUGAGCAAGUUGAAGCUAGUGUAAGAACUAGUGGAGGACUGAACCCAUAGGCGUUGAAAAGCCCCGGGAUGACUUGUGGAUAGGGGUGAAAGGCCAAUCAAACUUCGUGAUAGCUGGUUCUCUCCGAAAUAUAUUUAGGUAUAGCGUUGUGUCGUAAUAUAAGGGGGUAGAGCACUGAAUGGGCUAGGGCAUACACCAAUGUACCAAACCCUAUCAAACUCCGAAUACCUUAUAUGUAAUCACAGCAGUCAGGCGGCGAGUGAUAAAAUCCGUCGUCAAGAGGGAAACAACCCAGACUACCAGCUAAGGUCCCUAAAUCUUACUUAAGUGGAAAACGAUGUGAAGUUACUUAAACAACCAGGAGGUUGGCUUAGAAGCAGCCAUCCUUUAAAGAAAGCGUAAUAGCUCACUGGUCUAGUGAUUUUGCGCGGAAAAUAUAACGGGGCUAAAGUAAGUACCGAAGCUGUAGACUUGCACACAACUUAGAUUAUUUAAGUUUAGAAUAUGAGAAACUAAGUUAUAUGUUUAGUUAUAUUUUUACUGAUUUUUAUAGAGUAAAGAUAGAAAUAAAACUUAGUAAAAUCAGUAAAAAUAUUCUUAGACUAAAGUUAAGUAGUUUAAGUUGUGUGCAAGUGGUAGGAGAGCGUUCUAUUUGCGUCGAAGGUAUACCGGUAAGGAGUGCUGGAGCGAAUAGAAGUGAGCAUGCAGGCAUGAGUAGCGAUAAUUAAUGUGAGAAUCAUUAACGCCGUAAACCCAAGGUUUCCUACGCGAUGCUCGUCAUCGUAGGGUUAGUCGGGUCCUAAGUCGAGUCCGAAAGGGGUAGACGAUGGCAAAUUGGUUAAUAUUCCAAUACCAACAUUAGUGUGCGAUGGAAGGACGCUUAGGGCUAAGGGGGCUAGCGGAUGGAAGUGCUAGUCUAAGGUCGUAGGAGGUUGUACAGGCAAAUCCGUAUAACAAUACUCCGAGAACUGAAAGGCUUUUUGAAGUCUUCGGAUGGAUAGAAGAACCCCUGAUGCCGUCGAGCCAAGAAAAGUUUCUAAGUUUAGCUAAUGUUGCCCGUACCGUAAACCGACACAGGUGGGUGGGAUGAGUAUUCUAAGGCGCGUGGAAGAACUCUCUUUAAGGAACUCUGCAAAAUAGCACCGUAUCUUCGGUAUAAGGUGUGGUUAGCUUUGUAUUAGGAUUUACUCCGAAAGCAAGGAAACUUACAACAAAGAGUCCCUCCCGACUGUUUACCAAAAACACAGCACUCUGCUAACUCGUAAGAGGAUGUAUAGGGUGUGACGCCUGCCCGGUGCUCGAAGGUUAAUUGAUGGGGUUAGCAUUAGCGAAGCUCUUGAUCGAAGCCCGAGUAAACGGCGGCCGUAACUAUAACGGUCCUAAGGUAGCGAAAUUCCUUGUCGGUUAAAUACCGACCUGCAUGAAUGGCGUAACGAGAUGGGAGCUGUCUCAAAGAGGGAUCCAGUGAAAUUGUAGUGGAGGUGAAAAUUCCUCCUACCCGCGGCAAGACGGAAAGACCCCGUGGACCUUUACUACAGCUUGACACUGCUACUUGGAUAAGAAUGUGCAGGAUAGGUGGGAGGCUUUGAGUAUAUGACGCCAGUUGUAUAUGAGCCAUUGUUGAGAUACCACUCUUUCUUAUUUGGGUAGCUAACCAGCUUGAGUUAUCCUCAAGUGGGACAAUGUCUGGUGGGUAGUUUGACUGGGGCGGUCGCCUCCCAAAUAAUAACGGAGGCUUACAAAGGUUGGCUCAGAACGGUUGGAAAUCGUUCGUAGAGUAUAAAGGUAUAAGCCAGCUUAACUGCAAGACAUACAAGUCAAGCAGAGACGAAAGUCGGUCUUAGUGAUCCGGUGGUUCUGUGUGGAAGGGCCAUCGCUCAAAGGAUAAAAGGUACCCCGGGGAUAACAGGCUGAUCUCCCCCAAGAGCUCACAUCGACGGGGAGGUUUGGCACCUCGAUGUCGGCUCAUCGCAUCCUGGGGCUGGAGCAGGUCCCAAGGGUAUGGCUGUUCGCCAUUUAAAGCGGUACGCGAGCUGGGUUCAGAACGUCGUGAGACAGUUCGGUCCCUAUCUGCCGUGGGCGUAAGAAGAUUGAAGAGAUUUGACCCUAGUACGAGAGGACCGGGUUGAACAAACCACUGGUGUAGCUGUUGUUCUGCCAAGAGCAUCGCAGCGUAGCUAAGUUUGGAAAGGAUAAACGCUGAAAGCAUCUAAGCGUGAAGCCAACUCUAAGAUGAAUCUUCUCUAAGCUCUCUAGAAGACUACUAGUUUGAUAGGCUGGGUGUGUAAUGGAUGAAAGUCCUUUAGCUGACCAGUACUAAUAGAGCGUUUGGCUUAUCUUUAAUAAAGCAU
rnacentral:rRNA from 1 species